rnacentral:lncRNA from 1 species
AUGCCUCUCGCAAGGAUCUCCUCCACCCCUCUCCAGAAGAGGAGAAAAGGAAACAAGAAAAAGCGCCUGGUGCAGAGCCCCAAUUCCUACUUUAUGGAUGUGAAAUGCCCAGGAUGCUAUAAAAUUACCACGGUCUUUUGCCAUGCACAAAUGGUAGUCUUGUGUGUUGGCUGCUCCACUGUCCUCUGUCAGCCUACAGGUGGAAAAGCAUGGCUGACAAAAGGACGCUCCUUCAGGAGGAGGAAG